UAGGGAAUCUUCGGCAAUGGGGGCAACCCUGACCGAGCAACGCCGCGUGAGUGAAGAAGGUUUUCGGAUCGUAAAGCUCUGUUGUAAGAGAAGAACGUGUGUGAGAGUGGAAAGUUCACACAGUGACGGUAACUUACCAGAAAGGGACGGCUAACUACGUGCCAGCAGCCGCGGUAAUACGUAGGUCCCGAGCGUUGUCCGGAUUUAUUGGGCGUAAAGCGAGCGCAGGCGGUUUAAUAAGUCUGAAGUUAAAGGCAGUGGCUUAACCAUUGGUCGCUUUGGCAACUGUUGAACUUGAGUGCAGAAGUGGAGAGUGGAAUUCCAUGUGUAGCGGUGAAAUGCGUAGAUAUAUGGAGGAACACCGGUGGCGAAAGCGGCUCUCUGGUCUGUAACUGACGCUGAGGAUCGAAAGCGUGGGGAGCAAACAGG
rnacentral:rRNA from 1 species